UGCCAGCCUCCGCGGUACUCCUAAUUUCCCAAUCGUUGUUCGGAAUCACUGGGCGUAAAGCGUGUGUAGGCUGCGCGGAAAGUCAAAUGUGAAAGCCCGGGGCUCAACCUCAGAACUGCAUUCGAUACUCCCGUGCUAGAGUAAUGGAGAGGUAAGUGGAAUUCCUGGUGUAGCAGUGAAAUGCGUGGAUAUCAGGAGGAACAUCAAUGGCGAAGGCAACUUACUGGACAUUUACUGACGCUCAGACACGAAGGCUAGGGUAGCGAAAGGGAUUAGAUA
rnacentral:rRNA from 1 species